rnacentral:rRNA from 1 species
GCAGUGGAUGUCUAGGCUCGCACAUCGAUGAAGAACGCUGCGAACUGCGAUACGUAAUGCGAAUUGCAGGAUUCAGUGAGUCAUCGAAAUUUUGAACGCAUAUUGCACUUUCGGGUUAUGCCUGGAAGUAUGCCUGUAUCAGUGUCCG